GACAGGUGCUGCAUGGCUGUCGUCAGCUCGUGUUGUGAAAUGUUGGGUUAAGUCUCGCAACGAGCGCAACCCCUAUCUUUAGUUGCCAGCAUUAAGUUGGGCACUCUAGAGAGACUGCCCGGGUUAACCGGGAGGAAGGUGGGGAUGACGUCAAGUCCUCAUGGCCCUUAUGCCUAGGGCUACACACGUAAUACAAUGGCAGAUACAAAGGGAAGCGACCACGCGAGUGUUAGCAAAUCUCAAAAAGUCUGUCUCAGUCCGGAUUGGAGUCUGCAACUCGACUCCAUGAAGUUGGAAUCGCUAGUA
rnacentral:rRNA from 1 species